rnacentral:lncRNA from 1 species
AUGGAAGAGGGGUCCUCACGCCUGAAUCCCUGUGGCCCUGACAGAUCAGCGUGGCCCAGCCGCAGCCCCAGCCAGAAGACUGCAGGGAGCUCCAGCCUCGAGUUCCGGACCCCUGGGGGCAGCUCCUGCUUUCAGAAGUUGUGGCGGAAGGUAAAUAAAGUUUCCCACAUCCGAUGGCUUGAAGAGUACAUACAGUUCAGUGGCUGUGAGGUCUGCCUGCCCUGGUGUGUAGGCAACACAUCAGCGCGAUCCAUCUGCACCGCGCACCGGGCAGGCAGGAGGCUGCGAGCCGGUU